rnacentral:rRNA from 1 species
AACGAACGCUGGCGGCAUGCCUAACACAUGCAAGUCGAACGGAAACUCCCGGCUUCUUGGCGCAUCGCUGCGUAACGGGGGGGGACCUACCCUUGUGUUCGGAACUACUCCCCGGAAGGGGUUUUCAAACCGGAGAGUGUCAUCGGACCAAAGAUUUAUUGACUUUGGAUGGGGCGGAGUUGGAUUAGUUUGUUGGUAGGGUAAGAGCCUACCGGGGCGAGGACCGAUAGCGGGUCUGAGAGGAUGACCAGCCACACUGGGACUGGGGCACGGUCCAGACUGCUGCAGGAGGGGGGAGUGGGGAAUAUUGGACGAUGGGCUGAAGCAUGAUCGAGCAGUGGCGGGUGAGUGAUGAAGGCCUGGGGGUUGUAAAGCUCUUUUACCCGGGAUGAUAAUGACGGUACCGGGAGAAGAAGCUCCGGCUAACUCCGUG